UGCUUUCGCUUAUCGGGAAGGGUGAGAACCUUCGACUAAGGUUCGAAUCGAGCGAAAGCGAGAUAACGCUGCUGAAGCAGCGGCCCGAAGGGUGAGGAGCGAAGCAACGAAUAAUCCUUCCCCCACCACCA
rnacentral:sRNA from 1 species